AACGAACGCUGGCGGCGUGCCUAACACAUGCAAGUCGUGCGAGAAAGUUCCUUCGGGAGCGAGUAAAGCGGCGCACGGGUGAGUAACACGUAGGUAACCUGCCCCCCAGUCUGGAACAACUAGAGGAAACUCUAGCUAAUGCCGGAUGAGACCACGAUCCCUUCGGGGGUUGCGGCCAAAGAUGGCCUCCACUUGUAAGCUAUCGCUGAGGGAUGGGCCUGCGGGCCAUUAGCUUGUUGGUGAGGUAACGGCUCACCAAGGCUGUGAUGGCUAGCUGGUCUGAGAGGAUGACCAGCCACACUGGGACUGAGACACGGCCCAGACUCCUACGGGAGCAGCAGUGGGAAUAUUGCGCAAUGGGCGAAAGCCUGACGCAGCGACGCCGCGUGGGUGAUGG
rnacentral:rRNA from 1 species